GUAGGUGGCAAGCGUUGUCCGGAAUUAUUGGGCGUAAAGCGCGCGCAGGCGGUCCUUUAAGUCUGAUGUGAAAGCCCACGGCUCAACCGUGGAGGGUCAUUGGAAACUGGGGGACUUGAGUACAGAAGAGGAAAGCGGAAUUCCAAGUGUAGCGGUGAAAUGCGUAGAGAUUUGGAGGAACACCAGUGGCGAAGGCGGCUUUCUGGUCUGUAACUGACGCUGAGGCGCGAAAGCGUGGGGAGCAAACAGGGAUUAGAUACCCUGGUAGUCCACGCCGUAAACGAUGAGUGCUAAGUGUUAGGGGGUUUCCCGUCCCUUAGUGCUGCAGCUAACGCAUUAAGCACUCCGCCUGGGGAUACGGCCGCAAGGCUG
rnacentral:rRNA from 1 species